rnacentral:lncRNA from 1 species
UGGGGACUGAAACAGUCCGAGGAAACCCACGUACAAAGCACCUCAAACACGAGCGUGCACAGACGCAAAUACACAAAACAAUCCCGCACACAGAGCAGGCGGGCCUACUGGCUAAAAUAACCCGGCUAAUCAGCCCAACACAAAACGGGUGAAACCAAUAAACAGAAAGGGGGGAGAAGGAAAUCAGUGGCAGCUAGUAGGCCGGUGACGACGACCGCCGAGCGCCGCCCGAGCAGGAAGGGGAGCCACCUUCGGUAGGAGUCGUGACACCAACUGGCAAAUGUCUUCACUGACAUUUUCAACCUGUCUCUGACUUGAGUCUGUAAUGCAGACCACCAUAGUCCCUGUGCCCAAGAACACUAAGGUAACCUGUCUAAAUGACUACAGACCCGUAGCACUCACGUCUGUAGCCAUGAAAUGCUUUGAAAGGCUGGUCAUGGCUCACAACACCAUUAUCCCAGAAACCCUAAACCCACUCCAAUUUGCAAACUGCCCCCAACAGAUCCACAGAUGAUGCAGUCUCUAUUGCACUCCACACUGCCCUUUCACACCUGGACAAUAGGAACACUUAUGUGAGAAUGCUAUUCAUUGACUACAGCUCAGCAUUCAACACCAUAGUGCCCUCAAAUCUCAUCACUAAGCUAAGAAGGAGCCUGGGACUAAACAGAGGGUAGUGCGUACGGCCCAGUAUAUCACUGGUGCAAAGCUUCCUGCCAUCCAGGACCUCCUAUACCAGGCGGUGUAUAAAAAUUGUCAAAGACUCCAGCCAUCCUAGUCAUAGAAUGUUCUCUCUGCUACCGCACGGCAAACAGUACCGGAGCGCCAAAUCUAGGUCCAAAAUACUUCUUAACAGCUUCUACCCCCAAGCCAUGAGACUCCUGAAUAGCUACUGCUGCUCUUUAAUUAUUUUUUUACUUAACCAACAAUGCUGUUUUAAGAAAAAAAAAGAAGUUAAGGGCUUGUAAGUAAGCAUUUCACUGUGAGGUCUACUACACCUGUUGUAUUCAGCAUUUCACUGUGAGGUCUACUACACCUGUUGUAUUCAGCAUUUCACUGUAAGGUCUACUACACCUGUUGUAUUCAGCGUUUCACUGUUGUAUUUGGCGCAUGUGACAAAUACAAUUUGAUUUGCUUUGAUCAUGUGCUCUACCUUGGCAAAUAAAGGUGCAGUUUCAGUCAUAUCCAAUACCAGGAGUAUUGAAUUCCAGUCUUUGAAUGAUGCUGUGUCUGCAUGUAUGUAUUACAAUUAUACACUUCAGUAGUAUUUACCGGUCCUGGGACAUCAAUGGUUACACAUUGUAACUAUGCAAUAGACUAGAAACAUGAUUUAACUAGUUAAAGGCUGAU